GUGUCAGCAGCCGCGGUAAUACGUAGGUGGCAAGCGUUGUCCGGAUUUAUUGGGCGUAAAGGGCGCGCAGGUGGUUCGUUAAGUCCGAGGUGAAAUCUCCCGGCUCAACUGGGAGGGGUCUUCGGAUACUGGCGGACUUGAGGAGAGCAGAGGUGAGCGGAAUUCUCGGUGUAGUGGUGAAAUGCGUAGAUAUCGAGAGGAACACCAGCGGCGAAGGCGGCUCACUGGGCUCCACCUGACACUGAGGCGCGAAAGCGUGGGGAGCAAACCGGAUUAGAUACCCCCGUAGUCC
rnacentral:rRNA from 1 species